GUGGGGAAUCUUGCGCAAUGGGCGAAAGCCUGACGCAGCCAUGCCGCGUGAAUGAUGAAGGUCUUAGGAUUGUAAAAUUCUUUCACCGGGGACGAUAAUGACGGUACCCGGAGAAGAAGCCCCGGCUAACUUCGUGCCAGCAGCCGCGGUAAUACGAAGGGGGCUAGCGUUGCUCGGAAUUACUGGGCGUAAAGGGCGCGUAGGCGGACAGUUUAGUCAGAGGUGAAAGCCCAGGGCUCAACCUUUGAAUUGCCUUUGAUACUGGCUGUCUUGAGUACGGGAGAGGUGAGUGGAACUCCGAGUGUAGAGGUGAAAUUCGUAGAUAUUCGGAAGAACACCAGUGGCGAAGGCGACUCACUGGCCCGUUACUGACGCUGAGGCGCGAAAGCGUGGGGAGCAAACAGGAUUAGAAACCCGGGUAGUCC
rnacentral:rRNA from 1 species